CAGAAUAUAGUUAAUUUUUUAUAACAUAAAUUUUGGAGAUUUAAGUAUUUCAUAAUUUUCUGA
rnacentral:tRNA from 1 species